rnacentral:rRNA from 1 species
GACGAACGCUGGCGGCGUGCUUAACACAUGCAAGUCGAACGGAAAGGCCUCUUUCGGGGGGUACUCGAGUGGCGAACGGGUGAGUAACACGUGAGUAACCUGCCCUUGACUUUGGGAUAACUUCAGGAAACUGGGGCUAAUACCGGAUAGGAGCUCCUGCUGCAUGGUGGGGGCUGGAAAGUUUCGGCGGUUGGGGAUGGACUCGCGGCUUAUCAGCUUGUUGGUGGGGUAGUGGCUUACCAAGGCUUUGACGGGUAGCCGGCCUGAGAGGGUGACCGGCCACAUUGGGAAUGGGAUACGGCCCAGACUCCUACGGGAGGCAGCAGUGGGGAAUAUUGCACAAUGGGUGGAAGCCUGAUGCAGCAACGCCGUGUGCGGGAUGACGGCCUUCGGGUUGUAAACCGCUUUCGCUCAUGACGAAGCUUUGUGUGACGGUAGUGGGUAAAGAAGCACCGGCUAACUACGUG